rnacentral:rRNA from 1 species
AACGAACGCUGGCGGCAUGCCUAACACAUGCAAGUCGAACGAUGCCUUCGGGCAUAGUGGCGCACGGGUGCGUAACGCGUGGGAAUCUGCCUUUCGGUUCGGAAUAACUCAGGGAAACUUGAGCUAAUACCAGAUAACGUCGCAAGACCAAAGAUUUAUCACCGAAAGAUGAGCCCGCGUAGGAUUAGCUAGUUGGUGAGGUAAAGGCUCACCAAGGCGACGAUCCUUAGCUGGUCUGAGAGGAUGAUCAGCCACACUGGGACUGAGACACGGCCCAGACUCCUACGGGAGGCAGCAGUGGGGAAUAUUGGACAAUGGGCGAAAGCCUGAUCCAGCAAUGCCGCGUGAGUGAUGAAGGCCUUAGGGUUGUAAAGCUCUUUUACCCGGGAAGAUAAUGACGGUACCGGGAGAAUAAGCCCCGGCUAACUCCGUG